UCAAAGCGAGGACACGGUGAGUCCUCCAGUGCAAAACUCUGGAUUGGCCUAGGUCUUCUGAUAGGAGCUGUGAUCAUCUUUGCUGACCACACAGGAGUCAAAAAUCUGUAGAUCAUUGUCACGAAGGGGCUCACAGCUGGACAGACUUCCCACUGCUAGUGUGAGUAAUGUGGUGAUGGUCACAGUCAAGAAAGGCAAACCAGAGAUCGAAAGAAGGUAUGUGCGGCAGUGGUCAUUUGACAACAAAAGUCAUACCGGAGAAAAUAUAACAUUUAAAAAGAAUUUUUGAAGACAAUGCAGGGUCAUAUUAAAAAAAAUAAAGGCAAGGGGAAAGGUUCUGCCAUUACAGGACCAGUUGCAAAGGAGCGUGCAGACCUGUGGCCCGGGUUGGUGUCCAAUGCUGGCAGUAUU
rnacentral:lncRNA from 1 species